AAGUCGUAACAAGGUUUCCGUAGGUGAACCUGCGGAAGGAUCAUUACCGAGUUCAUGCCCUCACGGGUAGAUCUCCCACCCUUUGUAUACCUCACCUUUGUUGCUUUGGCGGGCCGCCUAGCUACUGGCUUCGGCUGGUAAGUGCCCGCCGGAGAACCCCCAAACCCAAACCAUUUAUAGUGUCGUCUGAGUAAAAUUUUAAUAUUUAAA
rnacentral:misc_RNA from 1 species